CCUACGGGAGGCAGCAGUGAGGAAUAUUGGUCAAUGGACGAGAGUCUGAACCAGCCAAGUAGCGUGAAGGAUGACUGCCCUAUGGGUUGUAAACUUCUUUUAUAUGGGAAUAAAAUGUUCCACGUGUGGGAUUUUGUAUGUACCAUAUGAAUAAGGAUCGGCUAACUCCAUGCCAGCAGCCGCGGUAAUACGGAGGAUCCGAGCGUUAUCCGGAUUUAUUGGGUUUAAAGGGAGCGUAGGUGGAUUGUUAAGUCAGUUGUGAAAGUUUGCGGCUCAACCGUAAAAUUGCAGUUGAAACUGGCAGUCUUGAGUACAGUAGAGGUGGGCGGAAUUCGUGGUGUAGCGGUGAAAUGCUUAGAUAUCACGAAGAACUCCGAUUGCGAAGGCAGUUCACUGGACUGCAACUGACACUGAGGCUCGAAAGUGUGGGUAUCAAACAGGAUUAGAUACCCGAGUAGUC
rnacentral:rRNA from 1 species